rnacentral:rRNA from 1 species
UAAGGAAUAUUGGUCAAUGGACGCAAGUCUGAACCAGCCAUGCCGCGUGGAGGAUUAAGGUCCUCUGGAUUGUAAACUUCUUUUAUCUGGGACGAAACACUUCUUUUCUAAGAGGCCUGACGGUACCAGAUGAAUAAGCCCCGGCUAACUCCGUGCCAGCAGCCGCGGUAAUACGGAGGGGGCUAGCGUUGUUCGGAAUUACUGGGCGUAAAGCGUACGUAGGCGGAUGCGCAAGUUGGGGGUGAAAUCCCGGGGCUUAACCUCGGAAUUGCCCUCAAAACUGCACGUCUUGAGACUGAGAGAGGUAGGGGGAAUUCCUAGUGUAGAGGUGAAAUUCGUAGAUAUUAGGAAGAACACCAGUGGCGAAGGCGCCUUACUGGCUCGGUACUGACGCUGAGGUACGAAAGCGUGGGGAGCAAACA